rnacentral:sRNA from 1 species
AUAAACCUCUUUUCUCAUAAGUCUAAACAAAAAUCUCUAUUGUAGAUUUUAUCACUCAACAGGUUCAAAAGAAAAAUAUUUUUUGAAAACAAAAAUUUAAGAGAAAUAUACAAAAAGAUUUCCAAAUUACAAAAUAUAUAUAUAGUCUGUGUGGUCUCGAAAAGGCCAUGAGCUUGUGGUCUACUAAUUCUUACAAAAACACAAGAGUCUCAUACUGAGUAGAGAAGAGAUAGGAAGGAACACAAAAACGGCCAUCCAUGCAGUAGAACUUAUGCUCUAGGAUUCCUUCUAUCACGACUUUUCUCACAUACUAUCUUUUCGGAUUAUAACGGAGAACAUAAUAUGCUGGAGCAAGCCAAAAACGCAUAAACUCAUCCGCAUCAGUAACGUUAACGAAACGAUGAUAACUAAGCGCACACUAGAGUAAAUUUGUACAUGAAUUAGGCAAAA